rnacentral:rRNA from 1 species
GACGAACGCUGGCGGCGUGCUUAACACAUGCAAGUCGAACGGAAAGGCCCUGCUUUUUUGGGGGGCUCGAGUGGCGAACGGGUGAGUAACACGUGAGUAACCUGCCCUUGACUUUGGGAUAACUUCAGGAAACUGGGGCUAAUACCGGAUAGGAGCUCCUGCUGCAUGGUGGGGGUGGGAAAGUUUCGGCGGUUGGGGAUGGACUCGCGGCUUAUCAGCUUGUUGGUGGGGUAGUGGCUUACCAAGGCUUUGACGGGUAGCCGGCCUGAGAGGGUGACCGGCCACAUUGGGACUGAGAUACGGCCCAGACUCCUACGGGAGGCAGCAGUGGGGAAUAUUGCACAAUGGGCGGAAGCCUGAUGCAGCAACGCCGCGUGCGGGAUGACGGCCUUCGGGUUGUAAACCGCUUUCGCCUGUGACGAAGCGUGAGUGACGGUAAUGGGUAAAGAAGCACCGGCUAACUACGUG